AAUACACGUACUUCAAGAUUUCUGUUUUAAAACUAUAUUGUAAAAAUGAAUCAAAUAAAUUCAUCUUUUGGGACAUGACGGCCAAUCUUAAGGGACAUCACACCGCCAACUUCCUGACUCCGAGCUGCGACUGAGUUAUUGUUAAGAUGGAAAAACUCAGUCAUAAUUAUCACUGGCCCGACGCGGAAUUCGGACCCAGGACCUCAGCGCGAUAUAAUAUAAAUUAUGUACAUCGACUACGGGUAUAGACAGAAAGACUCAUUCAUCAAGAAAUUGGGAAAAUGGACUUGGAAAACCUCGGUCAAUUUGGGCAGAGACUUCUGUCUCAGGACCACCAUUCAUGGGUUUCAACACAUUGCUCAGCCUGGCAGAUAUUGGUUUGAAAGGUUACUUUGGUUCGGAUUGACGAUGGUAGCGAUAAUUGGGGCCGUAGGAGUAACCAGAGAUCAGUGGCAGCGGUACAACGAGAACCCGACGGUUGUUACCCUGGAGAAGAACUUCAGGACCUGGCAGUACAGCGUGCCUGCUAUCACUGCGUGUA